rnacentral:rRNA from 1 species
UACGUAGGGGGCAAGCGUUGUCCGGAAUCAUUGGGCGUAAAGCGCGCGUAGGCGGCCAGAUUAGUCCGGUGUGAAAGUCAGAGGCUCAACCUUUGAAUGCCGCUGGAAACUGUCUGGCUUGAGUCCGGAAGGGGCGAGUGGAAUUCCACGUGUAGCGGUGAAAUGCGUAGAGAUGUGGAGGAACACCAGUGGCGAAGGCGACUCUCUGGACCAGCACUGACACUGAGGCACGAAAGCGUGGGGAGCAAACAGG